rnacentral:rRNA from 1 species
GACGAACGCUGGCGGCGUGCUUAACACAUGCAAGUCGAACGGAAAGGCCCUGCUUUUGUGGGGUGCUCGAGUGGCGAACGGGUGAGUAACACGUGAGUAACCUGCCCUUGACUUUGGGAUAACUUCAGGAAACUGGGGCUAAUACCGGAUAGGAGCUCCUGCUGCAUGGUGGGGGUUGGAAAGUUUCGGCGGUUGGGGAUGGACUCGCGGCUUAUCAGCUUGUUGGUGGGGUAGUGGCUUACCAAGGCUUUGACGGGUAGCCGGCCUGAGAGGGUGACCGGCCACAUUGGGACUGAGAUACGGCACAGACUCCUACGGGAGGCAGCAGUGGGGAAUAUUGCACAAUGGGCGGAAGCCUGAUGCAGCAACGCCGCGUGCGGGAUGACGGCCUUCGGGUUGUAAACCGCUUUCGCCUGUGACGAAGCGUGAGUGACGGUAAUAGGUAAAGAAGCACCGGCUAACUACGUG